ACGAACUGUGCGAACGUUAUUCGGAAUCACUGGGCUUACAGGGUGCGUAGGCGGCCUUUCAAGUCAGGUGUGAAAUCCCACAGCUCAACUGUGGAAUGGCGCUUGAAACUGGAGGGCUGGAGUCAGCUAGAGGUACACGGAACUUCCGGUGGAGCGGUGAAAUGUGUUGAUAUCGGAAGGAACACCAGAGGCGAAAGCGGUGCACUGGGGCUGUUCUGACGCUGAGGCACGAAAGCCAGGGGAGCGAACGGGAUUAGAAACCCCAGUAGUCC
rnacentral:rRNA from 1 species